CCCUGUUCACCGGGGGGUCGCUGUCGCGGCUGAGAUUGGGCUUGAGCCCUGACCCGUCGAACCUGAUCCGGGUCAUGCCGGCGAAGGGAGGGAACGCGGAUCUGGU
rnacentral:ncRNA from 1 species